UAUAAGGUAGUACACAGUCUGGAAAAGGGAGGGGAUUAACUGAUAUAUAGGAGAGAUGGUGUGGAGUCUAAAGGGACACGAAAAAAAUACACGAAAGAGUUUAACAGAUAGAAAGAAGAGAAAAGAAUCUAAGAGAAACACAUAUUGAUAGAGAGAGCUUAAGAAAAUUACAAGAGAAGAACGUUCUGAAAUACAGAUGUAUAAAGAGAUUUCGAGAGAGCUGAAAAUUCUCACAAAAAGAUAAACAGCUGCAGAUUUUUUACCGUUCCAUUAAGUUUCAACUAUGCAAUUUUGAAAUUUUCACUCCUUUAAUCAAUUUUCUGAUUGUUUGGGCUUAAAAAAGAUUUGAGGUUGAGUCAUUUGAACUUAGUUGAUGUCUCGUUGGUCUGUUAUUUGCUUGAAACUGAUUCUGGACUAUCCGAUCUCACUUCCUGGGUUUGAAAUUAGUUCAAAUUGCUGUUGAUUGCUGCUCUGUAGAUGUUGAUACCUAACCCCGGUUCUCUGUUUCUUCUACAUACCAGGUACAUGUCUCCUAAAAACUUUACAUGUUUGAUGAAACUUCGAUUUGAAGAGUGAAAUGAAAGGCAAGGAGCUUAAAGCAUUAUGUUAACUUAUCUGUGUUUCAGCCAUGUCUUUUCCUAAUGUUUAGUUUUAGAAUUUUUGUCAUUGCCAAUUGUAUACUAUCAUGAGAUUUCUAAGAUUGUUGCAACAACGGUCUAAUUUGGUUGCUUAUGGACUCUGGACUCUUUUUCAGUUUACUAAAGCUUGGUGCAGCCUCAGCUCUAUUUUUUUUUAUUCUAAUUUGUUAGAGGUCAAGUAUGGGUUUAUUGUUUGUGUUGAUUCAACCAAGUUGAGCCUAGUUAGCAUGUUUUAUGUUUCUGGUAGAUAGUUUUUUUUAUUUAUAUCAGUUGUAUUGAGGAUAGAUUCAAGUAAGUUUGGAUGUGUAUUAAAGGUUCUUCAGAUAUCAUAGUGACAGAAGCUCCAUGUUUAGUUUGCGGCGUACCUUGAGACCUUGUAUAAUUUUGAGUUGAGGUUAAUUGAUGAUAUACAGUGAAUGACUGUGUGCAGAUUUGAUAAAAUGGCAAUCUAUUGGUUGCUUUGUGUAAAAUUGGCCAUAUUAGUUUUUCCUACUGCUUUGAUGUCCAGAAUUGCUUUUUAAAAUCAGGUAGUUAGUUAAGGUUUUGUGCAACUGUGUUAAAAAUAGCUUUAAUUUUGUGUAUUGUCAUGUUGCCCCUGCAGGGACUCGAUCCUGGGUCUAAGUAGCUGAUGCACAUUAUGUUUUCAAAUUGGGCUGCCUUGGCUUGGUCCAAGCCAUUAUGAAAUCAGCAGAAUUUUGAUAUGGACUGUUGGGUUUCAUUCAUAGCCCAAAUUUUGGAGUGGUUGUAUGUUUAAAUUUAAGGGAUUUUUACCUAUACAUCACAUAUAGCAAACCUUAUUACAUUAUUGUGCCUUGUUUGGUUAUUACCCUCAUAUUCCAUGUUUUAGUUACCAAUAAUGUACCAAACGAAAAUUUGCUGAUCUUUCACCCUACAAUAACGCCAUUUAUUAAGGC
rnacentral:lncRNA from 1 species